AAAGAAAAUAACAAUGAUUCCCCUAGUAACGGCGAGCGAAGAGGGAAUAGCUCAAAUUUUAAAUCUGUUGGGUCUUACCUAACCGAGUUGUAAUUGAAGAAACGUUUUCUGCGUGUUUGAUUUAGCCCAAAUCCUUUGGGAUAAGGUAUCAUGGAGGGUGAGAAUCCCGUCCGGCCUAAUCAAAUGUGCUUUUACGAUACGUUUUCUAAGAGUCGAGUUGUUUGGGAUUGCAGCUCAAAAUGGGAGGUAAAUUUCUCCUAAGGCUAAAUAUAGGCGAGAGACCGAUAGCGAACAAGUACCGUGAGGGAAAGAUGAAAAGAACUUUGAAAAGAGAGUUAAAACAGUACGUGAAAUUGUUGAAAGGGAAACGAUUAAAGUCAGUCGUACUAACGGGGAAUCAACCUUCUGAGGGUGGAAUUGUGGGAUUCAAAGUGCCUUUGUUUUUCACAACCUGCUUUUUUUGGGUGUACUUUCUCGUAUUGUAGGUCAGCAUCGGUUUCGACCGUUAUAAAAUGAUUGGAGGAAUGUAGCUUCGAUCUCGUAUUGAAGUGUUAUAGCCUUUGGUAGAUGUAACGGAUGGGAUCGAGGAUUGCAAUGAAUACCCUCAUGGGCUAUCCGCCUGGCCUCUGACAUGUCACUCUGGUGCCGAAAGCUUGCUUAUGGUAUCGUAGUGUACGGUCAAAAGGUUAGAACGGAUUAAAUU
rnacentral:rRNA from 1 species